UGGGGAAUUUUGGGCAAUGGGCGAAAGCCUGACCCAGCAACGCCGCGUGAAGGAUGAAGUAUUUCGGUAUGUAAACUUCGAAAGAAUAGGAAGAAUAAAUGACGGUACUAUUUAUAAGGUCCGGCUAACUACGUGCCAGCAGCCGCGGUAAUACGUAGGGACCAAGCGUUGUUCGGAUUUACUGGGCGUAAAGGGCGCGUAGGCGGCAAUUCAAGUCAUCUGUGAAAUCUCCGGGCUUAACUCGGAACGGUCAGAUGAUACUGCUUUGCUAGAGUGCAGAAGGGGCAAUCGGAAUUCUUGGUGUAGCGGUGAAAUGCGUAGAUAUCAAGAGGAACACCUGAGGUGAAGACGGGUUGCUGGGCUGACACUGACGCUGAGGCGCGAAAGCCAGGGGAGCAAACGGGGAUUAGAUACCCACGUAGUCCCUGAG
rnacentral:rRNA from 1 species